rfam:Ovis aries breed Texel chromosome 18, whole genome shotgun sequence.
UCCCUGGUGGCUUAGUUGUAAAAGAAUCCACCUGCAAAGCAGGAGACCCAGGUUUGAUCCCUGGCUCAGGAA